rfam:Geminocystis sp. NIES-3709 DNA, complete genome.
GCUACCUUAGCUCAAUUGGCAGAGCAAUUCAUUCGUAAUGAAUAGGUUACGAGUUCGACUCUCGUAGGUAGCU